GAUUUUUUAAAUUGCUGUGGUAUUUUGACUAUACGAAGGUAUUGAAAUAAGGCUUUAAUUGAGUGCUAAGAGAAUGGUUAAACAAGGACUAACUUUCUUUAAAUUUAUAAUAAAAGUUAAUUUAAAAAUGAAAAAGUUUUUAUUUAUUUUUGGGACAAGAAGACCCUAUGAAUUUUUUUUAAAAAGUUAUUUAUUAUUUUUAUUAUAAAAAAAUGAGGUAUUUUUUUAAAUUGGUUGGGGUGAUUUUUAAAGAAUAAUUAUCUUUAAAAAAAGUUGAAAGUAGAACCAUAUUUUGUGGAUAUUUAAUCUAAAUACUCUAGGGAUAACAGCGUAAUUAUUUUGGAUAGUUCAUAUAGAUAAAAUAGUUUGCGACCUCGAUGUUGGAUUAAGAUACUUAUAUAAUGAAGAAGUUAUAUUAAGGAGUUUGCUCAACUUUUAAAAUCUUACU
rnacentral:rRNA from 1 species